GACGAACGCUGGCGGCGUGCCUAAUACAUGCAAGUCGAACGCAGUGGGGACGGGGGAGGAACCCGUGGGUAACCUCCCAUCAGAGGGGAUAACACGUGGAAACAGGUGCUAAACUGAUACUGAUGGCUGGAUCAGCGGUGCAUUAGCUAGUGGGUGAGGUAACGGCACACCAAGGCAACGAAGCAUAGCCGACCUGAGAGGGUGAUCGGCCACACUGGGACUGAGACACGGCCCAGACUCCUACGGGAGGCAGCAGUAGGGAAUCUUCCGCAAUGGACGAAAGUCUGACGGAGCAACGCCGCGUGAGUGAAGAAGGUCUUCGGAUCGUAAAACUCUGUUAUUAGAGAAGCGGUAUCUAACCAGAAAGCCACGGCUAACUACGUGCCAGCAGCCGCGGUAAUUC
rnacentral:rRNA from 1 species